rnacentral:rRNA from 1 species
GGUAAAAAAGCUCGUAGUUGGAUUUCUGUUGAGAGCGACCGGUCCAUACCAUGUAUGCGUAUCUGGCUUGCUCUCGGCAUCCUCUCGAUAGACGUUGCUGCGCUUGAUUGCGUGGCGCGGAUCUCGGGACUUUUACUUUGAGGAAAUUAGAGUGUUCACGGCAGGCUUUCGCCAGAAUACAUUAGCAUGGAAUAAUACUAUAGGAUCUUGGUUCUAUUUUGUUGGUUUCUAGAAUUGAGAUAAUGAUUAAUAGGGACAAUUGGGGGCAUUCGUAUCAACACGUCAGAGGUGGAAUUCUUGGAUUGUGUUGCGACGAACUACUGCGAAAGCAUUUGCCAAGGAUGUUUUCAUUGAUCAAGAACGAAAGUAAGGGGAUCGAAGACGAUUAGAUACCGUCGUAGUCUUUACCAUAAACUAUGCCGACUAGAGAUGGGGCAUCGUUCAUUUACGACUUGCUCCGCACCUUAUGAGAUAUCAAAGUUUUUGGGUUCCGGGGGGAGUAUGGUCGCAAGACUGAAACUUAAAGGAAUUGACGGAAGGGCACCACCAGGAGUGGAGCCUGCGGCUUAAUUUGACUCAACACGGGGAAACUCACCAGGUCCAGACAUAAUAAGGAUUGACAGAUUGAUAGCUCUUUCUUGAUUUUAUGGGUGGUGGUGCAUGGCCGUUCUUAGUUCGUGGAGUGAUUUGUCUGCUUAAUUGCGUUAA